UCGCUAGGUAACGCGGAUCAGCAUGCCGCGGUGAAUACGUUCCCGGGCCUUGUACACACCGCCCGUCACACCACGAGAGUUUGUAACACCCGAAGUCGGUGAGGUAACCUUUAUGGAGCCAGCCGCCGAAGGUGGGACAGAUGAUUGGGGUGAAGUCGUAACAAGGUAGCCGUAUCGGAAGGUGCGGCUGGAUCACCUCCUUU
rnacentral:rRNA from 1 species